CGGACCGGCGCACGGGUGAGUAACGCGUAUGCAACCUGCCCGUUUCAGCGGGAUAACCCGGAGAAAUCCGGCCUAAUACCGCAUGUGGCCAGGGGAGGCAUCUUCUUUCGGCCAAAGGAGGCGACUCCGGAGACGGAUGGGCAUGCGUGACAUUAGCUAGUUGGCGGGGUAACGGCCCACCAAGGCGACGAUGCGUAGGGGUUCUGAGAGGAAGGUCCCCCACACUGGUACUGAGACACGGACCAGACUCCUACGGGAGGCAGCAG
rnacentral:rRNA from 1 species